rnacentral:rRNA from 1 species
UUAAGCGACUAAGCGUACACGGUGGAUGCCCUGGCAGUCAGAGGCGAUGAAGGACGUGCUAAUCUGCGAAAAGCGUCGGUAAGGUGAUAUGAACCGUUACAGCCGGCGAUGUCCGAAUGGGGAAACCCAGUGCAAUUCGUUGCACUAUCGUUAACUGAAUACAUAGGUUAACGAGGCGAACCGGGGGAACUGAAACAUCUAAGUACCCCGAGGAAAAGAAAUCAACCGAGAUUCCCCCAGUAGCGGCGAGCGAACGGGGAGCAGCCCGGAGUCUGAAUCAGCUUGUGUGUUAGUGGAAGCGUCUGGAAAGUCGCAGGGUACAGGGUGAUACUCCCGUACACUAAAACACACAGGUUGUGAACUCGAAGAGUAGGGCGGGACACGUGGUAUCCUGUCUGAAUAUGGGGGGACCAUCCUCCAAGGCUAAAUACUCCUGACUGACCGAUAGUGAACCAGUACCGUGAGGGAAAGGCGAAAAGAACCCCGGCGAGGGGAGUGAAAAAGAACCUGAAACCGUGUACGUACAAGCAGUAGGAGCCCCACCACCAAAGCGUUUCGCUUUGCGUGGUGCGCAAAAUGCGUAACGACAGCGCGAUGGACGGUUAACGGAGCGUAAGCGACGUUCAACAUCAAAAAUCAGGCAGUGGAGCGUUUUGGGGUGGGGUGACUGCGUACCUUUUGUAUAAUGGGUCAGCGACUUAUAUUCUGUAGCAAGGUUAACCGUAUAGGGGAGCCGCAGGGAAACCGAGUCUUAACUGGGCGUUAAGUUGCAGGGUAUAGACCCGAAACCCGGUGAUCUAGCCAUGGGCAGGUUGAAGGUUGGGUAACACUAACUGGAGGACCGAACCGACUAAUGUUGAAAAAUUAGCGGAUGACUUGUGGCUGGGGGUGAAAGGCCAAUCAAACCGGGAGAUAGCUGGUUCUCCCCGAAAGCUAUUUAGGUAGCGCCUCGUGAAUUCAUCUUCGGGGGUAGAGCACUGUUUCGGCUAGGGGGUCAUCCCGACUUACCAACCCGAUGCAAACUACGAAUACCGAAGAAUGUUAUCACGGGAGACACACGGCGGGUGCUAACGUCCGUCGUGAAGAGGGAAACAACCCAGACCGCCAGCUAAGGUCCCAAAGUCAUGGUUAAGUGGGAAACGAUGUGGGAAGGCCCAGACAGCCAGGAUGUUGGCUUAGAAGCAGCCAUCAUUUAAAGAAAGCGUAAUAGCUCACUGGUCGAGUCGGCCUGCGCGGAAGAUGUAACGGGGCUAAACCAUGCACCGAAGCUGCGGCAGCGACACUAUGUGUUGUUGGGUAGGGGAGCGUUCUGUAAGCCGUUGAAGGUGGCCUGUGAGGGUUGCUGGAGGUAUCAGAAGUGCGAAUGCUGACAUAAGUAACGAUAAUGCGGGUGAAAAACCCGCACGCCGGAAGACCAAGGGUUCCUGUCCAACGUUAAUCGGGGCAGGGUGAGUCGACCCCUAAGGCGAGGCCGAAAGGCGUAGUCGAUGGGAAACAGGUUAAUAUUCCUGUACUCGGUGUUACUGCGAAGGGGGGACGGAGAAGGCUAUGUUGGCCGGGCGACGGUUGUCCCGGUUUAAGCAUGUAGGCGGAUGUUCCAGGUAAAUCCGGAACGUCACUAACGCUGAGGUGUGAUGACGAGGCACUACGGUGCUGAAGUGACAAAUGCCCUGCUUCCAGGAAAAGCCUCUAAGCAUCAGGUAACAUCAAAUCGUACCCCAAACCGACACAGGUGGUCAGGUAGAGAAUACCAAGGCGCUUGAGAGAACUCGGGUGAAGGAACUAGGCAAAAUGGUGCCGUAACUUCGGGAGAAGGCACGCUGAUGGUAGGUGAAGCGACUUGCUCGUGGAGCUGAAAUCAGUCGAAGAUACCAGCUGGCUGCAACUGUUUAUUAAAAACACAGCACUGUGCAAACACGAAAGUGGACGUAUACGGUGUGACGCCUGCCCGGUGCCGGAAGGUUAAUUGAUGGGGUUAUCCGUAAGGAGAAGCUCUUGAUCGAAGCCCCGGUAAACGGCGGCCGUAACUAUAACGGUCCUAAGGUAGCGAAAUUCCUUGUCGGGU